AUUGAACGCUGGCGGCAUGCUUUACACAUGCAAGUCGAACGGUAACAGGUUAAGCUGACGAGUGGCGAACGGGUGAGUAAUGCAUCGGAACGUGCCCGAUCGUGGGGGAUAACGCAGCGAAAGCUGCGCUAAUACCGCAUACGAUCUGAGGAUGAAAGCGGGGGACCGUAAGGCCUCGCGCGAUCGGAGCGGCCGAUGUCAGGUUAGGUAGUUGGUGGGGUAAAGGAUCACCAAGCCGACGAUCUGUAGCUGGUCUGAGAGGACGACCAGCCACACGGGGACUGAGACACGGCCCAGCCUCCUACGGGAGGAAGCAGUGGGGAAUUUUAGACAAUGGGCGAAAGCCUGAUCCAGCAAUGCCGCGUGCAGGAAGAAGGCCUUCGGGUUGUAAACUGCUUUUGUACGGAGCGAAAAGGCUCUCUCUAAUACAGGGGGCUCAUGACGGUACCGUAAGAAUAAGCACCGGCUAACUACGUGCCAGCCGCCGCCGUAA
rnacentral:rRNA from 1 species